UCUGAAGAACAGUAUGGAGGUUCCUCAAAAAAUUAAAAAUAGAAGUAUCCUAUGACCCAGCAAGUGCACUACUAGGUAUUUAUCCAAAGGAUACAAAACUGCUGAUUUGAAGGCCACAUGCACCCUCACUAUUUACAAGCACCAGAAACACAGAAGACCUUAUUGA